rnacentral:lncRNA from 1 species
GGCCGUGUUUUCCGGCCGUUUGGCCGGGAUUUUGGCUCCGAUUUGGCCACAGGGGAACUCAGCGUGGAAAAACGAGUCGGGGGUAUGAAAUUUACCUCGAUCGGCGGUCGGAAAACUCCCCGGUGCGGCGGCGGGUGGCGGCGGCCGGCUCCUCCGGCGUCUGGUUCGUCUUCUCCGGCGAGGGCAGGCGGCUAGGGUUUUUGUGG